UGGUCCUACGGGACGCAGCAGGGAAUCUUCGGCAAUGGACGAAAGUCUGACCGAGCAACGCCGCGUGAGUGAAGAGGGUUUUCGGAUCGUAAAACUCUGUUGGUAGAGAAGAACGUUGGUGAGAGUGGAAAGCUCAUCAAGUGACGGUAACUACCCAGAAAGGGACGGCUAACUACGUGCCAGCAGCCGCGGUAAUACGUAGGUCCCGAGCGUUGUCCGGAUUUAUUGGGCGUAAAGCGAGCGCAGGUGGUUUAUUAAGUCUGGUGUAAAAGGCAGUGGCUCAACCAUUGUAUGCAUUGGAAACU
rnacentral:rRNA from 1 species